GUGUCAGCCGCCGUGGUAAUACAGAGGGUGCAAGCGUUAAUCGGAAUUACUGGGCGUAAAGCGUGCGCAGGCGGUUGUGAAAGACCGAUGUGAAAUCCCCGAGCUUAACUUGGGAAUUGCGUUGGUGACUGCACGGCUAGAGUGUGUCAGAGGGAGGUAGAAUUCCACGUGUAGCAGUGAAAUGCGUAGAGAUGUGGAGGAAUACCGAUGGCGAAGGCGGCCCCCUGGGAUAACACUGACGCUCAUGCACGAAAGCGUGGGGAGCAAACAGGAUUAGAAACCCCAGUAGUCC
rnacentral:rRNA from 1 species